CGGUCCAGACUCCUACGGGAGGCAGCAGUGGGGAAUAUUGCACAAUGGGGGAAACCCUGAUGCAGCAACGCCGCGUGAGUGAUGACGGUCUUCGGAUUGUAAAGCUCUGUCUUCAGGGACGAUAAUGACGGUACCUGAGGAGGAAGCCACGGCUAACUACGUGCCAGCAGCCGCGGUAA
rnacentral:rRNA from 1 species